AUUGAACGCUGGCGGCAGGCCUAACACAUGCAAGUCGAACGAGUGGCGGACGGGUGAGUAAUGUCUGGGAAACUGCCUGAUGGAGGGGGAUAACUACGGGAAACGGUAGCUAAUACCGCAUACCAUCGGAUGUGCCCAGAUUGGAUUAGCUAGUAGGUGGGGUAACGGCUCACCUAGGCCACGAUCCCUAGCUGGUCUGAGAGGAUGACCGGCCACACGGGAACGGGGACACGGUCCAGACUCCUACGGGAGGCAGCAGUGGGGAAUAGUGCGCAAUGGGCGCAAGCCUGAUGCAGCCAUGCCGCGUGUAUGAAGAAGGCCUUCGGGUUGUAAAGUACUUUCAGCGGGGAGGCGGUACCCGCAGAAGAAGCACCGGCUAACUCCGUGCCAGCAGCCGCGGUAAUUC
rnacentral:rRNA from 1 species